GCAUUUACCGUUUGAGAAACUUGCAAGAACUUAUUAAUCAAGUUACAGAGAGAAAAGCUGACAGAUGGUUCAAUCAAGAUUUGAUAAAUUAACAUUGAGAAAUAUCGCCGAAUUGGUCUUCCCACGUCUUCGUUAAAAACCAAAUCCUGACGAGAAAUCUGAAGAAGAAACACAACCAAACUAAUAAGCAUAUACUUACAACGAAAAGCUGCAAGUUGGCAAGCCUAGAAUAUACACCUUUGGCCUGAUGAAAAAUAGUAGGGAUGGGGGAAGAGUUAUGGUACAAAUCUGGCAUUUACUUCUCCUGUACAUCAUGGGGAAAAAAACGGCGGUUGAAUUUAUGAUUUACUUGACAAACAUCCUUUAAGUAUGCAGAUCAGCAAACGUUAUACACUGCACAUCCCUUGUAUUGCAGGGAGAGUAACACCAGAAAGUGUAAUACACAGCUUUGGGAGACUCUUGAUUGAUCUUCUCAUCAUAAAGCAUAUUCCUCCUAGCCAUGUAAGUGAUUGUUCGAGUGGUGAGCAGGGGAAAAAGAAAAACCAUUUGUGGGAAAAGAUAAAUGGGGAAACUCUUAUAAGGAUCUAACAAUUAUUUGUGAGGUAAGACGAUGAGUCCUAAAACUGAUUGAGUUGUAGCAUUUGAAGUAUUUGGACCUUUGGGAUAUUAACUUCAUUGGGAGCAAAAUUCUAUAUUUCAUUGCUUCUCUUAAGUCUAAGGUAUCUUAAUCUCUUUUAUGCUUCUUUUGGUGGUCAACUUCCAAGUCAAGUUGGAAAACUUAGUACUUGUAUAUUAUGAUCUUACAGGUAAUGACAUUACGAAUGCUGAAAAUCACAAUUCAUGGCUUC